rnacentral:rRNA from 1 species
AGCCAAUAUUUCAUUUUUGCCGAAGAGACUACAGGAUCCCUAGUACUGCGAGUGAACAGGGAUUAGCCCAGCACCGAAGCCUGUGGCCAUUUGGUCACUAGGCAAUGUGGUGUUCAGGUCGUUCCGCAAAGGUACUGCUCCACCCUAAGUCCAUCAAUGAGUACGGUAGUACGGACAUGGCCCACAGAGGGUGAAAGGCCCGUGUGGGUGGAGAUCAGGUAGGCCAGUGCCUUUCUGGAUAGACCUUGGAGUCGGGUUGUUUGGGAAUGCAGCCCAAAGUGGGUGGUAAACUCCAUCCAAGGCUAAAUACAAGCACGAGUCCGAUAGCGAACAAGUACCGUGAGGGAAAGUUGAAAAGCCCUCUGAAGAG